UACUACUCCAAAUUAGAGAGUGUCCUUUGCUUGUAGGACACUGCAAGAACAAGUAUCAACAUAUUUGGCCCAAAAUUUCCCACAUACUCACCAUUCGAGUUGAUGGCAAACAAAUUUUCUGAAUAGAGGUUUCUAACCAAGUAGUAAACUGGCCGGACGUGUUGGAAAUCAGAAGAGUUGUUUUCUGAUUUUAGCUUCAGGUGAUGAAACAUAUAGCCAAUGUCAUUAGAAGGUCAAGUUGUGGUCAUGCCAUCAGACAACAAUUUAGUUUCUAUCAACUUUAUUUAUUGAAAAAGUUAUGAAGCUUGAUCUGAGAUGGAAUUAUGAAGCUUGAUCUGAGUUGGUCUGGUGGUCAGUUCACUCGUUUGUUAAGCAAGUGUUGGAGGUUCAAAUCUUUCUUAUCUUAUGUAUAUAGCAACUCAUUAAUUGAAACUUCUAACAAGAUGUAAUUAUGUUGCAUCAAGGGGGCCGAGCCACCCAACAAAGGUUAGUGGCUUGGAUCGUUUUAGGCUCGGCUGAUUUUAUUUAACAGUCCAAGUGGAUAUAGGCUUUAAAAUAAGCCUACGAAACUUGUUAGGCUAGCUUGUCAAAAUAUUUUUUUUGUAAAAUAAAUUAUUUUUAGUUUACACUUUUAAAUAUUCACUCAUAAAA